rnacentral:lncRNA from 1 species
UUUUUUUGCCUUUGUGUGUGUGUGUGGAUGCCCUUAGGGGUUUCAUUAUGGUAUAAGGAUAAGGUAAAUUCAGUUGACUGGCUUCUAUUCUCAUCCACUCCUGGGUCUGGAAGGAGUCCCCUCCACUUACCCUCUCCAUGCCUAUCUUUCUUUUGUUGGGUGUUGUAGUCCACAUGGAUUCCUCAGGCAGAGGCAGCAGUUGGCAGACAAGCUGCAUCCUUACCUGGUCAGCCCUAGUCUGCUGUUUGUGUGUUUCCUGGGGAAAACGGGGUUGCACCCACUUGCAAAGUUCAGGCAGAAACGAGGCCCCUGGGUUGGAAGCUUUAGUGGGUGUGACCUGUCUGGCUAAGGGAGGCAGGGAUGGAAGGACUUGCGGCCCUGCCACCUGGGUGUUUCCAACGCAACAAUAGGCUGUGCCCUCAGCAAAUUCAGGCAGAAGUAGGACUACUGGGCCUGAAGCUCCAACAUCUGUUGCCCACCUGGCUUUUGGUGACAGUGGUGGGUGGGCUCAUGCAUCCUGCUGUCCUGCUGUCCUGUUUCCUAGGAAGCUAUUUCCUCCAGGUAAGUUCACACAAAAGUGGAGCCACUGGGUGGGAAGCUCUGGCAGGCAUUGCCUGACUGGCUACGAGUGAUGGGGUGGGGAGGUGGGUGGAGUAGCUGACUGAGUUUGGGCCGAAGCAGGACUGCUGGGACAGAAGCUGGUGCCAAGCUCCAUCCAGGAAGGGGGCAUGGAGGAAUCUUACUGCUCUCAGGCACCGCGCCUGUGUUGGGGCUAUGGCGCUGGUACUGGAGCCGCGUGCUUGUGGGUAUGGAGCAACGUUAAUGCUCCCAGGCACUGCAACUGCGGCCUGUGUUGGGGCUAUGGCGCUAAGUCCUAGUCUGGGGUCUGGAGCCCUGUGCUUGUACUGGUCCCUUUGGACUUGAGAAUUACCUCCGUAAAACAUCAAGGUGGCUCUGUGCCUCAGUCUAGAAGCAUGGUGGGAGAAUGCGGAAGCAGGGGUUGGCAGUGGAUUCUCUCAUCCGGAGUCUUGCACAGGUCCCUGUGGAGAAUGUGAAAAAUCCUAGGGGCUUUCACUCACUCAUCUUCCCCGUUUUGGAAGGGUUCUACUGGCUCCGCACUGAGCCCAAACAGGCUGUGCCCAAUUUGCCUUCUCUAUACUACCUGUGUUUUCCUGCUGCCUUGAUGGAUCUCACUGUGGUUUCUCAAAUGAUUGGCCUGCAGGAUCAGUGUUCACUAGCCCUUUCCUUCCGCCCCAUGAGAGCUGAGAAGAUAAAUUGCUUCCAUUC